GCUUACGCACGACGAAGGGCAAUUCCGUGAAUAUCACAUGUUUUAUGGGAAAUUGGUAAUCCCGUGUCAUUCCUUAAGGACAUGUGUAUUGGAACAUUAGAUAACACGUGUACUGUCAAAGUCUUGCUCUUCUCGCUUAUGCUUUUGAGUUUUGUCCUUCCAAUUUCAUUUUUUUCCCUCAAAUCUCUCACUCUUUGUGGCGUUUACCUUUUCAAGUGUGAUUUGGGUUGCCAUGCAUAUUCUUUUUGGAAAGCUAUUUGAUGCGGUGAGAAAGCUAACUGAAAGGGAAAAAGAAAAUGUAAAGCGUCCAUCUUGGAAAACCAUGUAGCAAGAUAUAUUAGAAAGCCUGGAAACAUAAUAGAGCUAGAAUAAUCUUAUUAUUUACCUUGAUUCUGAUUUGCCAUGCCAAUUUUUCAUUUGCGGCUAUGAAAAAAUAUAACUUUUUUGUUUUCAUCUCCCAUCAAUUUCUUGUGUUUUCAUUUUUUGAACUGAUUUUUGAAUAUGUUCAACUCUGGGUAAUUUGAUUCUAAUAGAUGAGUUCUUGAACUAAUAUUUAUCCCAGGUUGUAUUUCGCACUGGUUAUACGGGUGACUCAGCUAUCUUCGGCUAUAGGCCAACAUCUCAUAUCAACUUCUUACAAGAGACUAAUUUUUUCCUAAAUAGUUGUUUGAUUCAAGUUAUUUGCACUUUGUUAAUUGUUACCCAGAGAGGUAAUCUUGGGAAUUCUUUUGCAGCUUGUUGCUUGCCUAAUUAUAAUUGUUUGUUUGGAAAUGUUGCUUUAUUAUUACUAAGACAUCAAUCUCAGAUAUUCAACUAUAUAUUAGAAUGAGGUGGUAGUGGUAAUCUACUUAACAAAUGAACAAGUUUUUAUUUAUCUUCUCCCAUUUCUCUUCCUUUUUUUCAAGCAUACAAUCUUAGCAAGACAGUAUUUUUUUUAAAAUUGAACAAGACAGUAAACAGUUUUCUUCUUCCAUAGAAACUCUUUCUCUUCUCCCGAAUCUUCUCAUCUCUCUUUGUCAAUUUUUAAUAACUUUUCCCUGCUGCUCUCUUCCGUCAUUGUUCUUUUCUUUAAUUUUACAAGUUAUUUUAUUUUAUUUAAAUGGUUUAACAAAAUGCAAAAGAAAAGGGUCUACUUAGUCUUGGUUCACGCUAAUUAAAAAAAAAAAUGUUAUAGUAGCAAUUAUGCUUGUAAGCUUGAGUUGAUGUACCUAUAUGAGUGUAAUUUUUUCUAUAUAAUAUUUUUCAACGUAAACCGAAAAGACAAAUUACCCAAUCCGCAAUCCAAAAUUGAUAAAACCGAUCAAACAUUUAAUUACUCUAUUAAUUGGACCGUGUAAAUUGCGAUACAUCUACAUUUAUAGCACAGUGGCAUCCAGAACCUCCAAAUUCUGGAUCCGCCUCUAUAAUAACUAUACAUCACGGAGAAAGUAAUGGACAUCCAUAUUAACUAUGUAUUAUAUUUGCAACAUAGAAUUAGAUCUUAAUUUGAAACAAAAAUUUAUAUUUCAGACAACUUGACUAAAACAAUGUAUUUCAUCUAAAAUAGGUCAUCUCUACUUACUUUUUCCUACUUGCUCCAACAUAUAUAAAACUUGGUCUUCACUUUUAGCUACUUAACUACAACUAAAUGCAUUCACAUGCUUCAUUCCCCAUACGCUACUGCCAGUCUGCCACCCAUAUUCAACGUAACGCAAGAUUUUUUUUUUUUUUUUUUUUUUGUUAAACAUUUUAUACAAAACAAAAUACUACAUUUAAUUUUGUAUGUCAUACCAUAUUGAUGCUUAUUUUAACUUUUUUUUAAGGCUUUUACUUAAUUUUACCACACAACAAACAAUC